CUCAAUGAAAUUUAUAUAGCCGCAACAUUCUUGCGCUAAGGUAGCAUAAUCAUUUGUUUUUUAAUUGAAAACUAGAACAAAAGAUUCAAUAUUUUCAUUUCUUUCUUAUAUAUAAAUUAUAUAAUCUAUUUCAAAUAUAAAAAAAUAUUUAUAAUUUAAAAAGACGAUAAGACCCUAUUGAACUUAACUACAGUUUAACUGGGGUAGUUAAUUAAAAAUAAUUUUAAUUCAAUCUUUAAAAAUAUCUAAUAAAAUUAAAAAUAUCAAGUUACCAUAGGGAUAACAGCGUAAUAAUUUUCUAAAGAUCUAAUUCAAAAAAUUGCUUACGACCUCGAUGUUGAAUUAAUAUUCUAUUAAAUGCAACAAUUUAAUAAGAAAGUCUGUUCGACUU
rnacentral:rRNA from 1 species